GAUGAACGCUGGCGGCGUGCCUAAUACAUGCAAGUCGAGCGAACAGACGAGGAGCUUGCUCCUCUGACGUUAGCGGCGGACGGGUGAGUAACACGUGGAUAACCUACCUAUAAGACUGGGAUAACUUCGGGAAACCGGAGCUAAUACCGGAUAAUAUAUUGAACCGCAUGGUUCAAUAGUGAAAGACUGUUUUGCUGUCACUUAUAGAUGGAUCCGCGCCGCAUUAGCUAGUUGGUAAGGUAACGGCUUACCAAGGCAACGAUGCGUAGCCGACCUGAGAGGGUGAUCGGCCACACUGGAACUGAGACACGGUCCAGACUCCUACGGGAGGCAGCAGUAGGGAAUCUUCCGCAAUGGGCGAAAGCCUGACGGAGCAACGCCGCGUGAAUGAUGAAGGUCUUCGGAUCGUAAAACUCUGUUAUUAGGGAAGAACAAAUGUGUAAGUAACUAUGCACGUCUUGACGGUACCUAAUCAGAAAGCCACGGCUAACUACGUG
rnacentral:rRNA from 1 species